rnacentral:rRNA from 1 species
GACGAACGCUGGCGGCGUGCUUAACACAUGCAAGUCGAACGGAAAGCCCCUGCUUUUUGGGGCUACUCGAGUGGCGAACGGGUGAGUAACACACGAGUAACCUACCCUUGCCUUUGGGAUAACUUCCGGAAACUAAGGCUAAUACCUGCUACAAACUCCCUCUGCUUGGCGGGGGUUGGAAAGUUUCGGCGGGUGGGGUUGGUCUCGCGUCAUAUGAGCAUGGGGGUGGGGUAGUGGCUUACCAAGGCGUUGACGGGUAGCCGGCCUGCGAGGGUGACCAGCCACAUUGGGCCUGGGGUACGGCCCAGACGCCUACGGGAGGCAGCAGUGGAGAAUAUUGCACAAUGGGCGGAAGCCUGAUGCAGCACCGCCGCGUGCGGGAUGACGGCUUUCGGGGUGUAAACCGCUUUCGCCUGUGACGAAGAGGGAGUGACGGUAAUGGGUAAAGAAGCAACGGCUAACUACGUG